rnacentral:tRNA from 2 species
GCUGGGGUAGCUCAACGGUAGAGCAGCCGCCUUGUAAGCGGUCGGUUGAGAGUUCAAGUCCCUCUCCUAGCACCA